CACUAGUAUCAUGUGGGAUGUAUAUGAUGAAAUCAAAGCUAGUGGGACUCCUCAGAGUGAACACACCAAUUCAAUUCUAAUAGAUGGUCUAUGCAGACAAUCAUUGCUACAAGAAGCAGUAGCCUUCCUGCAAGAGAAUGAAGGGAAGCAUUUUGGGCUCUGUGUUGCUUCAUUCAAUACUCUCAUGUCAAGAUGCAGAGAAUAUAGAUGGAACAAUCAGUAAAACAGGGGCAAAACAGAUCGCUGGAGUUGCACUUCAUGGGAUGGUCUUCUAGGGUGAAGAAGAUCGCCGGAGUUUUGUCUGAAAGAAUGAAGGUUUCGGACCAAAACAGCGUGAGGCUUUGUGGGAUGAGAACAAGCAGUAAAGAAAAAAGAAAAACCAGUUCAACAGGAGACUUUUGCAAAAGCCGGAUCAUGUGAAUUGCAAUUUGGUCUAGUGCAUGGACCAAAUUUAUUCAGUCGAAAACAGGACCGGCCCUGGCCUAAGGCCAGUAAGGCUUGGGUCUUAGGUUUCAAAAUUUUGGCUUAAAAAUAGGGUUUUUAAAUUUGGUAAAAUAUUAUAGGCUCAAUAUUUAUUUAUUUUUUGGUUUUAUGAUCAAUUUAAAGGGCCCCAAAAUAUUUUGUUGGGUCUAUGUAUGGUUUAACCCAUACUUAUUUAUAAGUGUAGUUUUUUUUGCUUAUAUUUAUUACAAUGAAAAUAUAUAUAUAUAUAUAAAAAAUGUUUGGGCCCAAGA